GUGCAUCUUAAGAAACUGAACUUUUCCUCCCCGAUAUAUAUCUGCCUCUCAACUCCUCUUCUACCCCAGGCCAAGGGCCAAAAAAUUAAAAAAUAUAUAUAAAGGAAGAUAAAAAGAAAGUGAUGGGUAGAACGAAAAGAUGGGUGUUUUUCAAGAGGUUGAUCAAGAGAGAAACAUGGAAGUGGAAGUUUUUGGGUUCUGCUUUCAAGUGGAAGAGGCUAAACAUUCAGCUUUCUUUCAUUGAUGAUGUACUCUUCAGGAUAGCGUCAGUUUUAGAGGCUAUUUUCUUGGUGGCUACCCUCUGUUUCUUCUAUCUUUGUUGUGGCUGUCACUUUUGACAAUUGACUUGUUUGGAGUACUUGAAGGGUGGUCGAAAACUGGAACUGCAGGGAAGAAAGCUAAGUUGGUAACUUCAGCCUUUGUUGGGGAAGUUUUUUAGUUAAUGCAUAGUUUCUUGAUGUAUAAAGUUAAUGGUUAAUUAAAUUAACUUCUGUUGGAUAAAUGUUCUCUUGUUUUACUUUUCCUCCUUUCUUUUUGUUCUUUAAAGUUUCAUGAGUUUGGUUCUCUUUGGUACAUGGUUGGUUAAAAGAGGGGGACACAUUCUUCACUGGCAUCUGUAGAAGAUUGAUUGAUUUGAGCCACUUUCAAUUUCCAUAUCUGAGUGUUCAUACUUGAUACAAUGAUGCCUUUGAAUACAGGUGUCUGGCUCCUUGAGCCUUUGAUGAAAAAGCCCAUGGUCUUGUUUUGCUUUUAUAAUUCAGAAUCCUUGAUUGAUGUUAUGGCAGCUUUUAGUAGUAGGUCAUUGCAAUACAUUAUUGAUUAAGCCUUCUUUUUUCACCCUUUUUACAUGAAUAAAUUCUUUUCUUUACUGUCAAGUGUUAACCAAGGAAAAUGUGAGGAAUUUGCUACUUAACGUGAUAAUGUUUAAGGGU